ensembl:lncRNA
UCCCUGAUCUGGACAGACGGGAUAGGUGAAAGCAAUUUGACAGAACCCUAAUAGAGGGCUUCCCUUUUCCAGUCCUGUAGAUUUGGAUCAGUGCGGCUGAAGGGAAGAGGUUGACCAAAGGAAGCCACAUUAGACAACUGAGUUGUACCCACAUAGGCUCCUGGUUCUCACCAUUCCCCCAUCGGAUCCAAGGCACUAUGUGACCGACCCCAGGGACCGUAAUAGUGCUAAAUGCUUGACAUGAGCACCUAAUGGGUUAAAAACAGAGCAAACACCAGACGCAUUGACCACAAGUAGCAACACAACCUCUCAUCUGCAGGCCAAUGACAGUAUCAAUUGGUGCUUAUAGGCACUUUUGUCUAAAGACAGUGGAAAACACCUACUGCACAGACAUACAGCAAUUCACAUAUUUCAAAGUACUUUCAAUCAUUUUAGAUGACAAAGCCACAUUUUAAAGCACAAAAAAAACAGUAUUCACUUGACUCCAUGUUAACCCCACAGAACAAAGUUAUACAUGCAGAAUCUGCAUUCAAACCAUUAACUUGUAUUUGCUGAAUAACAGUAAUGUAUUAGCUAGAUGCUUUUGUUUGAAUUUACACUAAUGAAAUACAAAGCAGUUGAAUCAUUGUAGAGCAGCAUAUGCCACAUAACCUA